CCUACGGGAGGCAGCAGUAGGGAAUCUUCGGCAAUGGGCGCAAGCCUGACCCAGCAACGCCGCGUGAAGGAAGAAGGCUUUCGGGUUGUAAACUUCUUUUGUCAGGGAAGAGGAGAAGACUGUACCUGGCGAAUAAGCCACGGCUAACUACGUGCCAGCAGCCGCGGUAAUACGUAGGUGGCAAGCGUUGUCCGGAUUUACUGGGUGUAAAGGGCGU
rnacentral:rRNA from 1 species